CAACGGAGGAAGCGCCCCAGGGAAUUAGGUGCAAGGGCCUGAGAAGGACGCACCAAGUAGAGGCUGCGGAGCAGCCUGGAAGGAGGGAAGGAAGUGCAGGUGGGUGUGGGGGUGCCAGGUGGAAGGCGUAGAGGGCAGGAUGUCCUUGGACGUCGCAGAGCCCAAGGAGGUGAGGACAGGGCUGAGGGCGGGGACCUGGAACCCUAGAUGACCGAGGCAGACUUUGGGGGCGGGGUGCCUCUCGAAGGCUCAGAGCUCUUUGCCCGGUCGGACGUCUUUCACCCCUCAGAGGAACAGCACAGUCUAAGGAGCUGUUUCAAUUGUUCAGUCCCCGUGCCUGUUGAUUACUUGGUUUUGCCAAAAGGCUUGGUGGGUGUUGGCAUUCCAACUUCUGCUUUCAAAGUAACAGGCCCAGAUCCGUCUGGUUCAGAGGACUUUUCGCCAGCAG
rnacentral:lncRNA from 1 species